rnacentral:lncRNA from 10 species
GAACCUUGUUGCUAGGGACCGGGCGGUUUGCGGCAACCGUGGGCACUGCUGAAUUUGAAUUGAGGGGCGAGGGAAAAGUUUUCCUCAGGUGUGGUGGGGAGAGGGAGGCGGAUGCCGGGAAACCGUAGGGACGCGGUCAGAAAGGCGACGGGCUGUCGGAGUUGGAAAGGUAAAGUUGGAGGCUCGGCGGCGUCCUGCCUCCGCGCUGGCCACACCCGCCGCGGCUGCCCGGGGCAGGGAGGGAUCUGGCUGAUUCUCCCUGUACCCUGUGCCCUCGGAGCUGCCCCUCCGAGCGCCCAGAGGUCCCCGCCUGCCUGCUUCCUGGAGGCAGGGCUACCAUCAGUCCCACGCCUCGCGUGUCCGCCCCCCGCACCCCGGGGCCAAGGAAAGGGAUCGCGGUCUGGACUCCCCGGGGAGUUCCCUUGAUGAGGGGAAGGGCAGGUUUGGGGACGGCGAGGACACGCGGCGACCGGAGAGAGGCUACCUGACCCGCGCAGCCCGGACUCCCUUCCCUUCCCUUCCAGGGACGCCUGGUUUCCCCCCAAGCGAACCGGGAUGGGAAGUGACUUCAAUGAGAUUGAACUUCAGCUGGAUUGAAAGAGAGGCUAGAAGUUCCGCUUGCCAGCAGCCUCCUUAGUAGAGCGGAAUGAGUAAUACCCACACGGUGCUUGUCUCACUUCCCCAUCCGCACCCGGCCCUCACCUGCUGUCACCUCGGCCUCCCACACCCGGUCCGCGCUCCCCGCCCUCUUCCUCGCGUAGAACCGUGGGAUCCUAGGUGGCAGGACUCAGAGCUAAGGUAUCCACAGGCCAUGAAUUCCUUCCUAAAUGAGCGGUCAUCGCCGUGCAGGACCUUAAGGCAAGAAGCAUCGGCUGACAGAUGUGAUCUCUGAACCUGAUAGAUUGCUGAUUUUAUCUUAUUUUAUCCUUGACUUGGUACAAGUUUUGGGAUUUCUGAAAAGACCAUACAGAUAACCACAAAUAUCAAGAAAGUCGUCUUCAGUAUUAAGUAGAAUUUAGAUUUAGGUUUCCUUCCUGCUUCCCACCUCCUUCGAAUAAGGAAACGUCUUUGGGACCAACUUUAUGGAAUAAAUAAGCUGAGCUGUAUUUCAAGUAAUAUAGUUAUAAAUUAACAAUGUAGCAGUUAUUGAUAGAGAAAUUGAGAAAACUGAAACGUGACCGGAGUAUUGGAAAUAACGUAGUACAUCACCUAGCACAAUGACACAUAGUAGGUGCUCAAUAAAUUUAUGCUUAUAAUUUUUGUCA